CAGAUCUUCCCUCCAAGACUUCUGAGGAGCCCUGGGAUGAAGAGCUGGUUUCUGUCUGGGUGUUUAGGAGCUCCCAGGGGCACAUGGGAAGUUCUGUGUGACGAGUCUUUACAUCAGGACGAGAGGAAACAACCUGGUCAGGUCAGUGUUGGUUCCACCACCUCCACCAGAGGUGCUGUCACACUCACAUCCUCAACUACCUCCAUUUCUGCUGCUGCUUUGUCCAGUGUGGGCUAAAGAAGAUCAAGGA